UCUACUACUCAAGAUCCUUCGUCUGUGGUUGUUCCCAUUCCAGCGAGUCAAAUAUCAAAAUCAAACGCUGCUGCUUCGGCUUCUGCUUCUCCAUUUAUACGCUGCUCGCAGCAUUUAAUACGAAUCAAAAACUACAAAUACCACCAUAGCACUGGGCUUCACCUCCACUGUAGCUACCCCUCAGUAUUCUUAGAUGUUCAUAGGCCGUCAGCAACUGUUGAUCACAGAAAAGAUGGAUCUUACCAAAUGGAGAUAAUAUUGGAAUUUCUGGGCAAGAACAAGUGCUCACAAAAAUGACCGUAAGCAAAUAUUGGUUGGGUUUCUGUUAAGCUUCAGGUAAAGAUGUUUCCCAAGGCUGAUGACUUUCAGAAUCAGGCUCAGCCUCUUGAAGAUCUUGCAAGAAGGUUUAAAUAUAAUGUAUUUUACGAUGCUGACUCUUCCCAUAUAUAUUUAGUUAUGUAGAUUUUCUCUUCAUGUGUCUAUUUUUACUUGCGGGUCUGUUGAGGUUACUCUUUACCCCUAAAGUUUUAGCCUUUUGUUUGUGAUAGUUCUAUCAGAAGUUGUUGGUCACCUGAACUAUCAUUGUGGCUCGCUAGGUCAUACUUUGUUGGGGUCCUUACCAUGUUCUUAAUUUUUGUUGGUCCUGUCCUUUUAGAUCUUUGGUUUUAAUGUCUCCAGCGAUCCUUUGCCUUCGUUUAUGAAGGAAGUGUUGUGGCUUUUGACUGAGAGUAAAUGUAAUUUCUAUUAGUUUCA